AGUCGAGCGCGGGAAGCAAGCAGAACUCCUUCGGGAGUGACGCUUGUGGAACGAGCGGCGGACGGGUGAGUAACACGUGGGCAACCUACCUGUAAGACUGGGAUAACUCCGGGAAACCGGGGCUAAUACCGGAUGAUACAUAUCGUCGCAUGACGAGAUGUUGAAAGGCGGCAUAUGCUGUCACUUACAGAUGGGCCUGCGGCGCAUUAGCUAGUUGGUGAGAUAAAAGCUCACCAAGGCGACGAUGCGUAGCCGACCUGAGAGGGUGAUCGGCCACACUGGGACUGAGACACGGCCCAGACUCCUACGGGAGGCAGCAGUAGGGAAUCUUCCGCAAUGGACGAAAGUCUGACGGAGCAACGCCGCGUGAGUGAUGAAGGUUUUCGGAUCGUAAAACUCUGUUGUUAGGGAAGAACAAGUGCCAUUCGAAUAGGUUGGCACCUUGACGGUACCUAACCAGAAAGCCCCGGCUAACUACGUGCCAGCAGCCGCGGUAAUACGUAGGGGGCAAGCGUUGUCCGGAAUUAUUGGGCGUAAAGCGCGCGCAGGCGGUCCUUUAAGUCUGAUGUGAAAGCCCACGGCUUAACCGUGGAGGGCCAUUGGA
rnacentral:rRNA from 1 species